rnacentral:sRNA from 1 species
ACACAUUGACUAUCUGUAAGAUUAGUUUAUGUAAAGCCCCUCCAACAGGGCCUUUGUAGAAAGCAUGUAGUAAGCGCUUAGUAAAUGAGGUCAAUGGGACAUGGCUUCAGCCCAGCUCCGACACCUGAGAGUAUCCUCCUCUGAGUCGGCUUCCAGAAUCCUCAAGGCUCCAGUGCUUCCCCAAUGGAUGGAGCAUUACAGGCUGAGCUCUCAGCCCUCCUGCCUCUGGCCAUAUGCACAGGUUCCACAAGACCAAGCCGGUGCUCUUGUGCUACCACUGGCAGACCUACCACACGGAGGACAUCCUGAGCAUGGCCAAGUACCAGAACCAGUUCCUUGGGACCUCCUCCUACAGUGGGGACAUCCUCUUCUGGAACACCGGCACAUUCAAGCCCAUCUUCAACUUCAAUGCCUCUAGGAGCCCCUUGCCCUUGCAGCCCAAGAGGGUGCAAGAUGUGAACAACUGCCUGGCUGAGAGCCACAGGCCCAGCAGACCCUAUGUGGAGCGGGAGAAGUGGGCAUACAAGACCUCCAGGAAGCUCUCCAGUCUCAGCCCCGAGUCUGUGGCCAAUACCAACCUGAGGCGGAGCCUGGUGUCGGCUCCCCCAGUGAUGCGGUGCCCGAGAGACAAGGAGCCAGACAGGCCUGUGCCCCAGCAGAAACCUUCCAGUGCUUCUGGCACAUCCAGGCAGUCAAGCAAGAUCCGCAGCAAACAGUCCAUUUACAAAGAGGAUGAAACGAGAAAAGGAGAAUUGCAGAAGAAUAUGUUGGUUCAAUCCAGUGCCUCGGUGGAGAAGGUUG